AAAGUCGUAACAAGGUUUCCGUAGGUGAACCUGCGGAAGGAUCAUUACAGAGUUCAUGCCCCUACGGGUAGAUCUCCCACCCUUGAAUAUUAUACCUUUGUUGCUUUGGCAGGACGCCUCGUGCCAGCGGCUUCGGCUGCUGAGUGCCUGCCAGAGGACCACAACUCUUGAAAUACAUGAUGUCUGAGUACUAUAUAAUAGUUAAAACUUUCAACAACGGAUCUCUUGGUUCUG
rnacentral:misc_RNA from 1 species